AACGAACGCUGGCGGCAGGCCUAACACAUGCAAGUCGAACGAGAAGCCACCUUCGGGUGGUGGACAGUGGCAGACGGGUGAGUAACGCGUGGGAACGUGCCUUUCGGUUCGGAAUAACCCAGGGAAACUUGGGCUAAUACCGGAUACGCCCUUCGGGGGAAAGAUUCAUUGCCGGAAGGUCGGCACGCGUCGGAUGAGGUAGUUGGUGGGGUAAUGGACCACCAAGGCGACGAUCCGUAGCUGGUCUGAGAGGAUGACCAGCCACACUGGGACUGAGACCCGGCCCAGACACCUACGGGAGGCAGCAGUGGGGAAUAUUGGACAAUGGGCGAAAGCCUGAUCCAGCCAUGCCGCGUGGGUGAAGAAGGCCUUAGGGUUGUAAACCCCUUUCAGCGGGGAAGAUAAUGACGGUACCCGCAGAAGAAGUCCCGGCUAACUCCGUGCCAGCAGCCGCCGUAAAAC
rnacentral:rRNA from 1 species